CAUGGUUGUUACAACUGAACUUCAAGGAACCAUCAAGAUCCAAGUCAUCUUGGUUGCCUAGUCAACUCUUUCUGUUCACAAGAGAUAAGUUGGCUGAAUUCUGUUAAUUAGUAGACUCCAAAUCAUUAGCUGUCCUGGGUUGUCUUGAGGCUAUCAUCAUAGCUUAGAAGAUGGCUAAUCUUGUGGCAAUGAACAUGAAGAGGAAAGAACAUGCUGAGGUGGCCAACAAUGGAUUGUCCAUCUUUCUUGAUCCUAAGAGGCUCAAAUUACAGGAUGGUGAGAUUCCAGACAUGAUGGAGGAAGAGAAACCAUCAGCAGGUGUUCAACUUGAUCCUAAUGUGCCAACCAUGGCCUUAUCAUGGAUGCUACCAACUCAGGGCCAAGAGACUACCCAUGACACUAUGAACACUGCAUAUGAGAUGUCAUCUUCAGAAACGCCGCCACUCAGAGCAGACCAAGCCGCCACCGCGGCGCCGAUGGACGUCGAGGUUCAGCUCCGGUAGCGGCAGCCUCAGGCGGCGCCGUGUCAGCAGGCUCAUUUCCGGUCAGGUUUCUUCUGAACUGUAAGAGGCUGCUGGAAUUGGGGGGAGUAAAAAUGACAAACUCCUACAAGUUGCUCUGAACUUGUAUUGGGGGGAGUAAAAAUGACAAACUCCUACAAGUUGCUCUGAACUCUGAACUUGUUAACGUUAGCAUGUGACUAGCAUAGGGUGUUUCCAAAUCCAUGUUGUCAUAUGCCACAAUGUGCUGAUCCAGACUAGUAUUUGUCGGAGCAAUGUAUGCUGAUUUGAUGGUUAAGAGUAUGCAAUGUGAAAUUCAUCUGCAGAUUCUCUCUUUCAGAUGAGUUUCGUGUAUUGUUUUGUGAGAAAUUACAUAAAAUAUCCAAAGAAAACCAUGUUUAGUGUAACGAUGCUGUUGAACGGACAGAAGCCUGGAGAGCCUUAGUCGCCUACUGCCCUUAACCAGAAUGUCAUGUGUCCAAUUAUUUCAUCUCAAAACACAAAUUCAUCUUCAGCAUUCCCUGAUUUAGUAUCAGAAAUUUGAUGGAUUAAACAAAGUGAACAUAAAAUUCUCAGACAGGGCAAAUGAAAUAAAUGAAAUAGACCACGGUCAUCGCACAGCUCAUUGUCUCAUAAGUGUCGUUUGGUACAAUUAGGGAGUAUGCAACUCUAAUCACUCCACACACUGUUAAGUAAUAACAUACAAGUAUACAACAAUGGUUUGCUGAGCACCUGUUCAGCUAUGAAUAUUGUCCCCUCCAGGGACAACAAAAGUAAAAAGAAAAAAAGAAUCAUGUAUGUGAAUUCUGGCUGUUAAGUGGAUUUUCCUGCCAAAAGGGCGACGGCAGAUUUUUAAUUUAGUUCCUUGAGCUGGUUCCCAUGCUGAAUGGCCAUCAAUUAUAACUGACUAUGACCUUUCUAUAGCCGAGUAACUGUUGAAAUCUCUGUUGUAGAAUUAUCUUGAAUAAAUGUGGCAGCAUGCCG